GGCAACAACGCCCCCUGUAGGCCCCUGCAGACGGGAGUGGUGAACCCCGAAAUCCGUUCCCGUUAAAUAACUGACUUCUGCCGCCUCGUUGGAGUAACGAGCUGGCUGCAUCACUUACGCCUCCGUCUUGUUGGACUGUCGUCGGCAGGGCACGGUGUUGCUGACACAAGUACCAGUCACCGGGUCCACCGCCUCCACGAUGACAAAGGGCCUCUCCUCCAGCGUGGCCACCGUCAGAUGCCUGUAAUCAGACACCGGCUCCAGGAAGGAGCUCGACAAAAAGAAGCUGCAGCAGCCGUGUGAUUUAACCAGCUGAUUCGGAGCCGCGGGGAAAAAACAGAGCGAGAGAAAAUAAGAAGAAGAAGAAAAAAGAAGGUGGCAGGAAAUAAAAAAGAGGAGGCAGAGGAGCUAAAGACUGCGACUGUCUGACAAGUGUCACACUUGCGCUUCGAUCCAGCCUUCCUCCUGUGCUAAUGACUGUCAACACGACAAGCAGGGCCGUCUGAAGGGGGAGAAAAUUACUCGCUGAAAAGCAAUUGACUGACCCCCAUCAUUUCUCAGGGAACCAGUGACCUGUGAAUAUUUCAUUAUGGGGAAAGUCGUGAGGCCCAUAUAAAUGGUGGGCAGAGGGUGGAGGAGGGGGGGUGGUGUUGAUCUGCCGAGCGGCGCCGUCCCAAGCCGGAGAGGGAAACCGGGGCCAGACCUGCCUGCACGCCUCGGAGCCUUUUCACUCCUCGGCUCCAACAAUGCACGAUUCAGCCACAGAAAGAGACGAAAUGAAAGAUUUCAAAUAUCAGCGCGUGGAUGCAGAUAGAAGAAGAGGCGGAGGAGGCGGGCGGGAGAGCGUCUGGGUGUUUUGGAGGUGUGGGUCAGAGCGAGUUAUUCUUUUACCCUCUGCGCGACAUUCGUCUUACAUUGAGAAACAUCAGAGGCCUCGGAACCGAGAGGGGCAGGAAGAGAAAGAGAAGACGGCAAAGAUGAAAGAAAAUCAAUCCCUCGCCAAGCCUGAUUGAUCGGUGGAGUUUUGGACAAUUUCAUCAGGAGACUCCACUAACCAGAGAUGACACGACCCAUAUUGGAGGGAGAACGCAUUGUGGAGAUUAAUACCCGCAUUAGGAGGCAUCAGGUCGGAUAAACGCGGCGCUCCGGCAGUAAAUACACUGGGCCGGCGUGCCCCCCCCUUCAAUGACAACUUAAUGCCACGAGAAAUCCUCACAACCCACACUUUACUUUUCAAACUUUGACUGGACGAAAUAAUUGAGUCAAUUAGGAGCACCUUAAUCUGAGGAAGGGAUCUUCAAAAGAGAAAAUAUACAGUCAAGGUUUGGAUUGGGUCUUAGGGAUAUAAAUAAAAAGAGCCUGGAGAUUGUCUGUGUUUAUCCAACGAUGGAGGGAAAGAGCAGGAGGAUUAUAUCUGAGCUCACGCAGGAACCUCACGUUACAUAUUAACUUCCACUCUUCACUGUUUUACUAAAACUUUUUAAUUCAUCAGCUUUUUUUUCCGUGUGAGAAUAACACUGUUUUAUAAUUACUCUGUGACAGCUAAGUAUCCGUCAACAUUGAAUGUUAUGUUCCAUCUGCGCCCACGACAAGCCUCCGAGAUAACAUCGGGAAUGAAUUUAAUUAGAUAAGAGCCGGAGAAUCCAGGAAGAAUAUCACUUUCUGGUCAUUCUGACAUUUCUCUUUAUUCCCCCCAUUAUUCUAAGACGAGCUUCAGAGACGGGACGGCGAGAGAAAGUCAAUAAGCGCAUGAUGAGCUAAACUUCCACCGGAAAAAAAAAAAAAAAAAGCGAGUUCUCUCGCUCUGCACCGCGUAUGUCAAACCAAUGGAGGGAGGAAAUGGACAGGGUGAACUAGGGGGAAGUGCAGAGGGACAGAGGGAAUACUGCUGAUCGAGCAGAUCGGGCAAGAAAGCAUGAAAUACUACAUUACAGGGGGAAAAGGACAAAAGCAGCCACCAGGGCCUGAUCAUGUAGGCCUGACAGGGAGGCAGGGGGUGGAAGUAAUCGAGGGUCACACAGGCCAGAUGACUGAUCGGGGGGGGAACAUCGGGCAAAGUGACAAUUUUUGCGGAUGGUAAAUAUUUCAACAGCGCUCGGUCGUGCGGUGGAGGUCAAGCAAGCUCCAUUUUAAAACACAAUAGACAGACACCUUUAAUAAAACAUCCCACAUAAACACACACACACCGGAGCUCCUCGCACACGCACACUGAAACUCUUUUCUCUCCCUUAAUGGUCUAAUUUCCUCGGCUGCAGCCAGAGGAAGUCGCCUUAUAAGCCUCAUAAGCAGGUGUGUGUGUGUGUGUGUGACUGUCGGUGACAUUUAGCAAAUGAUCCACAUUUCACACAUUUUAAUGCAACACAAAAAACGGCCUCCUCAGCCUCUGUCUCAUAUCCAGUUCAAAAGCCUUAAACAGCAUGUGGAGCUCUGCUGACGAGGGGAGGAAACAAAAAAAAAAAAAGUCAGAUUUG